rnacentral:rRNA from 1 species
GCAAGCGUUGUUCGGAAUUACUGGGCGUAAAGAGUGUGUAGGCGGUGUCGUAAGUUUGGUGUGAAAUCUCCCGGCUUAACUGGGAGGGUGCGCCGAAGACUGCGAUGCUUGAGUAUGGGAGAGGAAAGCGGAAUUCCUGGUGUAGCGGUGAAAUGCGUAGAUAUCAGGAGGAACACCUGCGGUGUAGACGGCUUUCUGGACCAUUACUGACGCUGAGACACGAAAGCGUGGGUAGCAAACAGGAUUAGAUACCCUGGUAGUCCACGCCCUAAACGAUGCAUACUUGGUGUGAGCCAUUCAGUUUGGUUCGUGCCGGAGCUAACGCGUUUAAGUAUGCCGCCUUGGGGAGUAACGGUCGCAAGGCUGAAACUCAAAAGGAAAUUGACGGGGGCCCGCACAAGCGGGUGGGAGUAUGUGGUUUAAUUCGAUGCAACGCGAAGAACCUUACCAAAGACUUGACAUGUCGCGAAUCUUCUUGAAAGGGAAGAGUGCCUUCGGGAGCGCGAACACAGGUGGUGCAUGGCUGUCGUCAGCUCGUGUCGUGAGAUGUUGGGUUAAGUCCCGCAACGAGCGCAACCCUCGUUUCUAGUUGCCAGCAUUGAGUUGGGCACUUUAGAGAGACUGCCGGUGACAAACCGGAGGAAGGUGGGGAUGACGUCAAGUCAGCAUGCCCCUUACGCCUUGGGCUACACACGUACUACAAUGCUACGGACAAAGAGCCGCAAGUUCGCGAGGACAAGCAAAUCUCAUAAACCGUGGCUCAGUUCAGAUUGCAGGCUGCAACUCGCCUGCAUGAAGGCGGAAUCGCUAGUAAUCGCAGGUCAGCAUACUGCGGUGAAUACGUUCCCGGGCCUUGUACACACCGCCCGUCACACCAUGGAAGUUGGCCACGCCCGAAGUCAUUACUCCAACCCUUCGGGGAGGAGGAUGCCGAAGGCAGGGCUGAUGACUGGGGUGAAGUCGUAACAAGGUAACC